rnacentral:rRNA from 1 species
UACGGAGGGUGCAAGCGUUAAUCGGAAUUACGGGGCGUAAAGCGUGCGCAGGCGGUUUGUUAAGUCUGCUGUGAAAUCCCCGAGCUCAACUUGGGAAUUGCAGUGGAUACUGGCAAGCUGGAGUACGGUAGAGGAAGGUGGAAUUCCCGGUGUAGCAGUGAAAUGCGUAGAGAUCGGGAGGAACACCAGUGGCGAAGGCGGCCUUCUGGACCAGUACUGACGCUCAUGCACGAAAGCGUGGGGAGCAAACAGG